rnacentral:rRNA from 1 species
AUUGAACGCUGGCGGAAUGCUUUACACAUGCAAGUCGAACGGCAGCACGGGAGCAAUCCUGGUGGCGAGUGGCGAACGGGUGAGUAAAGUAUCGGAACGUGCCCAGUCGUGGGGGAUAACGUAGCGAAAGUUACGCUAAUACCGCAUACGAUCUAUGGAUGAAAGCGGGGGAUCGCAAGACCUCGCGCGAUUGGAGCGGCCGAUAUCAGAUUAGGUAGUUGGUGGGGUAAAGGCUCACCAAGCCGACGAUCUGUAGCUGGUCUGAGAGGACGACCGGCCACACUGGGACUGAGACACGGCCCAGACUCCUACGGGAGGCAGCAGUGGGGAAUUUUGGACAAUGGGCGCAAGCCUGAUCCAGCCAUGCCGCGUGCAGGAUGAAGGCCUUCGGGUUGUAAACUGCUGUUGUACGGAACGAAAAGGUUUGACUUAAUACGUUGGACUCAUGACGGUACCGUAAGAAUAAGCACCGGCUAACUACGUGCCAGCAGCCGCCGCGG